rnacentral:SRP_RNA from 1 species
GCCAGGUGUGGUGGUGGGCACCUGUAAUCCCAGCUACUUGGGAGGCUGAGGCAGGAGAAUCACUUGAACCCAGGAGGCAGAGGUUGCAGUGAGCUCAGAUCACAGCACUGCACUCUAGCCUGGGCAAUAGAGUGAGACUCUGUUUCAA